GAUUCCGUAGCUCAGUUGGUAGAGCAAUACACUUUUAAUGUAUGGGCCCUGGGUUCGAGUCCCAGCGGGAUCACCU
rnacentral:tRNA from 2 species